ensembl:lncRNA
GGAGGAGGAGGAUUUGAUGGUCUGAAGGUGGAUCAGUUUCAUCGCCACAAAAGUCCCUCAGCAUUUUAAUGUCUUUUGUUUCAUUUGGUUUGAUUUCAAAUGCAUCGAUCAGGACAGUAGUGUGUUUUUGUUUCAUCAUGCCUUUCGAUCUGGACUGUGACGCAGCGGCGAACAAAACGAGUCCAGAGGCGGAACAGGAAGUGUGUGAGGUCACACAUGAAGAGAGAGUGACGGACACACCAACACGAAGAGUUGGACGACCCGCUCGAAAACGCAAAGCACCAGGAGAGGAUAGUUGUGGGCGUGUGAUUGAGGGCGUGACCUGUAUGAAACAGGCGGGGUGUAACGGUGAAGCAGAGAGUCAGGUUUCACAGAAAAACCUUGAGCCGAAAGACUCCUCCCCUGACUCCACCCCUGACUCCACCCACCAGAACGGCACAGACACGCCCCCCGGUGCGGACGGAGACUCCGCCCCUUCCACUCCACGGAAGAAACGAGGGCGGCGGAAACUCAAGCACUCGGAGCGACACGUUGACGAGGACGACACCAGCAGCGACACCAGCAGAGGAGAUGUAAGGACUCAAAACACAGUAUAGCUUAUUGUCAAAUAAACAACAUAAUAAAAUUCAAUAAAUCACAUUUCUGAAAUUUAUAGGACUAGGGCUGCAUCAUUUAGGCUAAAAUUUAAUUGGAAGGCUUUUUAAACCAAGAAAUUGUGGUUUAUAUCUCAAUAUGAUUAUAUAAUUAUAAUAAUUUUUUAUCUUACUAAAUAAAAAUACUACUAUUGUAAUAUUUCAAAUAUUUACAGUACAGCAGUAAAAUUACAAUCCAUGAAUUAAUUAAUUAAUUAAUUAAUUAAUUAAUUAAUUAAUUUUUUAAUUUGUUCCAAGUUUGCAAUGCUUGUUUAUAGGGCUGCACAAUUUUGCCAAAUUUGA